rnacentral:rRNA from 1 species
UGGGGAAUUUUGGACAAUGGGCGAAAGCCUGAUCCAGCAAUGCCGCGUGUGUGAAGAAGGCCUUCGGGUUGUAAAGCACUUUUGUCCGGAAAGAAAUCCUUGGCUCUAAUACAGUCGGGGGAUGACGGUACCGGAAGAAUAAGCACCGGCUAACUACGUGCCAGCAGCCGCGGUAAUACGUAGGGUGCAAGCGUUAAUCGGAAUUACUGGGCGUAAAGCGUGCGCAGGCGGUUUGCUAAGACCGAUGUGAAAUCCCCGGGCUCAACCUGGGAACUGCAUUGGUGACUGGCAGGCUAGAGUAUGGCAGAGGGGGGUAGAAUUCCACGUGUAGCAGUGAAAUGCGUAGAGAUGUGGAGGAAUACCGAUGGCGAAGGCAGCCCCCUGGGCCAAUACUGACGCUCAUGCACGAAAGCGUGGGGAGCAAACAGGAUUAGAUACCCCUGGUAGUCCACGCCCUAAAACGAUGUCAACUAGUUGUUGGGGAUUCAUUUCCUUAGUAACGUAGCUAACGCGUGAAGUUGACCGCCUGGGGAGUACGGUCGCAAGAUUAAAACUUAAAGGAAUUGACGGGGUCAUAGCUGUUUCCU